rnacentral:rRNA from 1 species
UACGUAGGGGGCUAGCGUUGUCCGGAAUCAUUGGGCGUAAAGCGCGCGUAGGCGGCCAGAUAAGUCCGGUGUGAAAGUCACAGGCUCAACCUGUGAAUGCCGCUGGAAACUGUCUGGCUAGAGUCCGGAAGGGGCGAGUGGAAUUCCUGGUGUAGCGGUGAAAUGCGCAGAUAUCAGGAGGAACACCAAUUGCGAAGGCAGCUCGCUGGGACGUUACUGACGCUGAGACGCGAAAGCGUGGGGAGCAAACAGG